GAUGAACGCUAGCGGAAGGCAUAAUACAUGCAAGUCGAACGGAUGUAGCAAUACAUUAGUGGCGCACGGGUGCGUAACGCGUAUGCAACCUACCUUCAUCAGGGGGAUAACUACUCGAAAGGGUGGCUAACACCGCAUAAUACUACUGAAUGGCAUCAUUUGGUAUUUAAAUCUGAGGAGGAUGAAGAUGGGCAGGCGUCUGAUUAGCUAGUUGGUGUGGUAACGGCGCACCAAGGCGACGAUCAGUAGGGGAACUGAGAGGUUGGUCCCCCACACUGGAACUGAGAUACGGGCCAGACUCCUACGGGAGGCAGCAGUAGGGAAUAUUGGUCAAUGGUGGGAACACUGAACCAGCCAUUCCGCGUGCAGGAAGAAGGGUCUCUGACUUGUAAACUGCUUUAGCAAGGGAAGAAAAAGCUCAUGCGUGAGAAAUUGACGGUACCUUGAGAAUAAGCACCGGCUAACUACGUGCCAGCAGCCGCGGUAA
rnacentral:rRNA from 1 species